rnacentral:lncRNA from 1 species
GUGACUUUAAGAAGGCCAGGCAAAGUCACUGUUAAUCAUAUAACUUUAUUGUCCUCCUGGGUCAUAAAGGAAGUGUGUCCCCCUCCUUCCCCCCUCCUUCUGAAUGUCAGUUUUAUGGCGCCCAUAAACAAUGAGCAGCCAGUGACCCUUCCAGCCUUAGAACAUCCCUACCGGCUGUUUUGAAGGUAGACUGGUUGGAGGGCAGCUGCAGGGCCUGGGAGAGACCAGAAGUGGGGCAGGAGGUGAGUCUGGCCCCUCUUGGCUCCCAGGGCAAGGGUGGAGAGUCAGUCCGUGCUCCUGCACUCUCUGUGUGGGGAGAGGGAGGCUGGCACUGAGAGGGGAAAAUAUCUAUGCUCCUUCCUUUGACUUCAGGGCCCCUGGGAGGGUUGUCUCUUUGAGUCUAAGGAAUGGGGCUUACUUCCCCUCGUGUGGUGGUGUAGUGGUGGUGGCGGCAGUGGUGAUGGUGAUGAUGGUGGUGGUGAUGAUGAUGACCAUGAUGACACAC